UACGUAGGGGGCUAGCGUUGCUCGGAAUCACUGGGCGUAAAGCGCACGUAGGCGGCCUCGUAAGUCAGGGGUGAAAUCCCGGGGCUCAACCUCGGAACUGCCUUUGAUACUGCGGGUCUUGAGUCCGAUAGAGGUGGGUGGAAUUCCUAGUGUAGAGGUGAAAUUCGUAGAUAUUAGGAAGAACACCGGUGGCGAAGGCGGCCCACUGGAUCGGUACUGACGCUGAGGUGCGAAAGCGUGGGGAGCAAACAGG
rnacentral:rRNA from 1 species